rnacentral:rRNA from 1 species
CUGGAGGUAUCAGAAGUGCGAAUGCUGACAUAAGUAACGAUAAAGCGGGUGAAAAGCCCGCUCGCCGGAAGACCAAGGGUUCCUGUCCAACGUUAAUCGGGGCAGGGUGAGUCGACCCCUAAGGCGAGGCCGAAAGGCGUAGUCGAUGGGAAACGGGUUAAUAUUCCCGUACUUGGUGUUACUGCGAAGGGGGGACGGAGAAGGCUAUGUUGGCCGGGCGACGGUUGUCCCGGUUUAAGCGUGUAGGUGUGUGUUCCAGGUAAAUCCGGUUCACUUUAACACUGAGGCGUGAUGACGAGGCACUACGGUGCUGAAGCAACAAAUGCCCUGCUUCCAGGAAAAGCCUCUAAGCAUCAGGUAACAUCAAAUCGUACCCCAAACCGACACAGGUGGUCAGGUAGAGAAUACCAAGGCGCUUGAGAGAACUCGGGUGAAGGAACUAGGCAAAAUGGUGCCGUAACUUCGGGAGAAGGCACGCUGACACGUAGGUGAAGUGAUUUACUCAUGGAGCUGAAGUCAGUCGAAGAUACCAGCUGGCUGCAACUGUUUAUUAAAAACACAGCACUGUGCAAACACGAAAGUGGACGUAUACGGUGUGACGCCUGCCCGGUGCCGGAAGGUUAAUUGAUGGGGUCAGCGCAAGCGAAGCUCCUGAUCGAAGCCCCGGUAAACGGCGGCCGUAACUAUAACGGUCCUAAGGUAGCGAAAUUCCUUGUCGGGUAAGUUCCGACCUGCACGAAUGGCGUAAUGAUGGCCAGGCUGUCUCCACCCGAGACUCAGUGAAAUUGAACUCGCUGUGAAGAUGCAGUGUACCCGCGGCAAGACGGAAAGACCCCGUGAACCUUUACUAUAGCUUGACACUGAACAUUGAGCCUUGAUGUGUAGGAUAGGUGGGAGGCUUUGAAGCGUGGACGCCAGUCUGCGUGGAGCCGACCUUGAAAUACCACCCUUUAAUGUUUGAUGUUCUAACGUGGACCCGUGAUCCGGGUUGCGGACAGUGUCUGGUGGGUAGUUUGACUGGGGCGGUCUCCUCCUAAAGAGUAACGGAGGAGCACGAAGGUUGGCUAAUCCUGGUCGGACAUCAGGAGGUUAGUGCAAUGGCAUAAGCCAGCUUGACUGCGAGCGUGACGGCGCGAGCAGGUGCGAAAGCAGGUCAUAGUGAUCCGGUGGUUCUGAAUGGAAGGGCCAUCGCUCAACGGAUAAAAGGUACUCCGGGGAUAACAGGCUGAUACCGCCCAAGAGUUCAUAUCGACGGCGGUGUUUGGCACCUCGAUGUCGGCUCAUCACAUCCUGGGGCUGAAGUAGGUCCCAAGGGUAUGGCUGUUCGCCAUUUAAAGUGGUACGCGAGCUGGGUUUAGAACGUCGUGAGACAGUUCGGUCCCUAUCUGCCGUGGGCGCUGGAGAACUGAGGGGGGCUGCUCCUAGUACGAGAGGACCGGAGUGGACGCAUCACUGGUGUUCGGGUUGUCAUGCCAAUGGCACUGCCCGGUAGCUAAAUGCGGAAGAGAUAAGUGCUGAAAGCAUCUAAGCACGAAACUUGCCCCGAG